AGAGGUUCACGUGCACAUUUAUGGGAGACUGGGCUUGUGAGAUCCAUUGUUACGCCCUGAACAGACAAGGGGGCUGGUGUGACAGUCGUAACGUCUGCAACUGCAGACAGGAGAUAAUCCUAUGAACUUCCCGAAGACCAGGAGACUCACAUCCUUCAGAUGCAACUUAUGUGUCAGGUGGGGGGAAAAUUUGAGUGAUGAUCCUGUGUAUUUUUAUCAUUGAACUCUUUUUUGCUUUAAUAACAUUUCAAUUUAUAACAUUUUUUUUCAAAUACACUUUAACAAAACUAUGUCAACUCUGCCAAUAAUACAGUUUGAAUAAAUGAUCUUUUU